UACGUAGGGGGCUAGCGUUGUCCGGAUUUAUUGGGCGUAAAGAGCGUGUAGGCGGCCACUUAAGUCCUGCGUGAAAUCCUGCGGCUCAACCGCGAGGCGGUCGUGGGAAACUGGGUGGCUAGAGUGCGGGGAGAGGAGAGUGGAAUUCCUGGUGUAGCGGUGGGAAUGCGCAGAUAUCAGGAGGAACACCUGUGGCGAAAGCGGCGCACUGGACCACAACUGACGCUGAGGCGCGAAAGCUAGGGGAGCAAACAGG
rnacentral:rRNA from 1 species